rnacentral:rRNA from 1 species
CCUACGGGGGGCAGCAGUCGAGAAUCAUUCACAAUGGGGGAAACCCUGAUGGUGCGACGCCGCGUGGGGGAAUGAAGGUCUUCGGAUUGUAAACCCCUGUCAUGUGGGAGCAAAUUAAAAAGAUAGUACCACAAGAGGAAGAGACGGCUAACUCUGUGCCAGCAGCCGCGGUAAUACAGAGGUCUCAAGCGUUGUUCGGAAUCACUGGGCGUAAAGCGUGCGUAGGCUGUUUCGUAAGUCGUGUGUGAAAGGCGCGGGCUCAACCCGCGGACGGCACAUGAUACUGCGAGACGAGAGUAAGGGAGGGGGAACCGGAAUUCUCGGUGUAGCAGUGAAAUGCGUAGAUAUCGAGAGGAACACUCGUGGCGAAGGCGGGUUCCUGGACAUUAACUGACGCUGAGGCACGAAGGCCAGGGGAGCGAAAGGGAUUAGAUACCCGUGUAGUC